rnacentral:rRNA from 1 species
CCUACGGGAGGCAGCAGUGGGGAGUAUUGGACAAUGGGGGCAACCCUGAUCCAGCAAUGCCGCGUGGGUGAUGAAGGCCUUCGGGUUGUAAAGCCCUUUCGGCGGGGACGAUGAUGACGGUACCCGCAGAAGAAGCCCCGGCUAACUUCGUGCCAGCAGCCGCGGUAAUACGAAGGGGGCUAGCGUUGUUCGGAAUGACUGGGCGUAAAGGGCGCGUAGGCGGCGAUUUUAGUCAGGCGUGAAAGCCCUGGGCUCAACCUAGGAACUGCGUUUGA